rnacentral:rRNA from 1 species
UACAGAGAGUGCAAACGUUGUUCGGAAUUACUGGGCGUAAAGCGCACGUAGGCGGAUUUGUAAGUCAGGGGUGAAAUCCCGGGGCUCAACCUCGGAACUGCCUUUGAUACUGCAAAUCUCGAGUCCGGAAGAGGUGAGUGGAAUUCCUAGUGUAGAGGUGAAAUUCGUAGAUAUUAGGAAGAACACCAGUGGCGAAGGCGGCUCACUGGUCCGGUACUGACGCUGAGGUGCGAAAGCGUGGGGAGCAAACAGG